UAGGCAACAGCAUGCUCAUCUUGCUCCUGGUUAUCGACAGAUUCUUUUGUAUCACUCAUUCGAGUUACAAUAGAUGCACUCACAUGGAUGGUCUUGAUGGUGCCAUCCCAUAAGCAUGAAAAUCUGUGGCUUCCACGUACUCUGCUUUUGGUGCUGUUGAACUCCCGUAAGAGAUGGAGCUAAGAAUGUGUGAAGCUCAGAACGCUUGGCUGUCUAAUUCUGAAGAGAUAGGAAAUACCACCAGGAAAGCAAAUCAUUCUACUUAGCAGCAGUAUCGGCUGCUCCUUUUGUGACCACUGCAGUUACCCAAUGCUGCAGUAACUGAUGCUG